GAUGAACGCUAGCUACAGGCUUAACACAUGCAAGUCGAGGGGAAACGACAUCGAAAGCUUGCUUUUGAUGGGCGUCGACCGGCGCACGGGUGAGUAACGCGUAUCCAACCUGCCCACCACUUGGGGAUAACCUUGCGAAAGUAAGACUAAUACCCAAUGAUAUCUCUAGAAGACAUCUGAAAGAGAUUAAAGAUUUAUCGGUGAUGGAUGGGGAUGCGUCUGAUUAGCUUGUUGGCGGGGUAACGGCCCACCAAGGCAACGAUCAGUAGGGGUUCUGAGAGGAAGGUCCCCCACAUUGGAACUGAGACACGGUCCAAACUCCUACGGGAGGCAGCAGUGAGGAAUAUUGGGCAAUGGACGAGAGUCUGAACCAGCCAAGUAGCGUGCAGGAAGACGGCCCUAUGGGUUGUAAACUGCUUUUAUAAGGGAAUAAAGUGAGUCUCGUGAGACUUUUUGCAUGUACCUUAUGAAUAAGGACCGGCUAAUUCCGUG
rnacentral:rRNA from 1 species